rnacentral:rRNA from 1 species
AGCAGCAGCCGCGGUAAUAUGAAGGGGGCUAGCGUUGUUCGGAAUCACUGGGCGUAAAGAGCGCGUAGGCGGAUCUUUAAGUCAGAGGUGAAAUCCCGAGGCUCAACCUCGGAACUGCCUUUGAUACUGGGGAUCUCGAGUCCGGGAGAGGUGAGUGGAACUGCGAGUGUAGAGGUAAAAUUCGUAGAUAUUCGCAAGAACACCAGUGGCGAAGGCGGCUCACUGGCCCGGAACUGACGCUGAGGUGCGAAAGCGUGGGGAGCAAACAGGAUUAGAGACCCCUGUAGUCCCUGUCUCUUAUAC